ACCACCCCACCAGAGACACCUUUCUCUCUGCUCUCCAACAAAUCAUGGACUUUUCUUCCAUCACUCCAGAAAAUUAAUCUCUCCUAUAAGGAUGGAGAUAAGAGCUGUCUGGGAGAAACCAUCCCCUAGAAUUGGCAGAAUCCCCAAAAUAUUAAGAGAAAAUGCAGAAUUUCCCUCGAACCAAAGUAUGUUCUUCUUAAACUCCAAAACAAUGGGAGAGAUGGGGUGAGAAUCCCACCAACUUUUAGAAUGCCAGCUAUGAACCAAUGAGGCUUCAACAAUCUGGUCCUCAUCAAGUCUUAGGGGCCCGGUUCCUAUGCUUCUUCCGGUGUAAUAGAGAAGGGAUGUCGAUCGAGCCUGGCUCAUGCCCAGGGACCCGCCACCAGAAACAUCCCAUUUCUCUCUUUCUGGUCCCCCAGCCUGGUAGGAGCACCAUAGUGAUGACCAUCGGGGCGGAUGGAGCCCCAAACUACCCCCCCUGGGGUCCCCGUCUAAUCUGGCCUACUCUAUCCUCUGCCUUUUUAGCACAGUACAAAGGCCAUCUCUGCAAGGAAGACAUCCCUGAUGAUACCCCACUCCUAUCAUCCUAGAAAAACCUGGCUAUCUCGAAAUAUCUGUCGUUAGUUCUAUUUACAAGUUCCCUGAACGGUGAGGAUUGGGUUCAGCCAUCUAAAGCCCCAAGUACCUGACUCAGAACUCACACCCAUGGAGCACUUCGAGCCUUUAAUCAAUAUUUGUUUAAUGAAAUAGACUGGGAAGAAUGAGGGGGGGACUUGCAGCAAACUAGGGAGGAUUAGCCUCAUUGUGGUUCUCUUGGAGUGAGGGAGAGCACAGACAUCUCACCCAAACCCAGACACCGGAAGCCACUGACUCAGGAACAAAUCUUCUCUGUGAAUCCUCUUUACCUCAGUGUAUUGACCUAAGCAAAGCACUCUGAAACCUUAAAGAACUUCUAUAAACAGGAACUAUCACCACUAAGAGGGAUAACCAGUCCCAGCUAGGUCCUGGCUUAGUGAGUACACCAAGAGCCAGGUCUAGAGAUAGGAGGUCCUGGGUUCAAUUCUGGCCUCAGGCACUUCCUAGCUGUGUGGCCCUGGGCAAGUCACUUAAUUCCCAUUGCCUAGCCCUUACCAUACUUCUGCCUUGGAACCAAUACACAGUAUCUAUUCUAAAAUAGAAGGUAAGGGUUUAAAAAAAAAAACAGGAUAACCAGGGGGAAAAAAGCUUACUGCCUAGCUGAAAAUCAUAAUAAAUCUACCUUAUAUUUGCACAAUUCUGUUUCAAAGUGAUGUCAUAAGGAAACAGUGAGGUAUCACAGUGAAUGAGAGUCAGGCCUGGAAUCAGGAGGACCUGGGUUCAAAUUUGACCUCAGAUACUUCCUAGCUCAGUGACCUUGGGCAAGUCAUUUAACUCAACUACCUAACCCUUGCCACUCCUUUUCUUAGAACUGAUACUAGGACAGAGGGUAAGUGUUUUAAAAACAAAACAAAGCGAUGUCAUAUAUACAAUCUCCUUUGAUUCUCACAACCACUAGUGAGAGAGGCAGACCAAUAUUAUCCCUGUUUUACAGAUGAGGAAACUGAGGCUUGGAAAGUUAUAGAGAAUUGCCUCACAGUCACAGCCAGUGGAGUGGCAGAGCAUGGACUUGAAAGAUCUUCUGCAUAUUAGAAAAAUCAAAUUCUGAGUCUGAUGCUAGUGAUAUAGCCAGGGGCAGGUCACUUUACCUCUUUUAUCCUUAGUUUCCUUAUCUAUAAAAUGGAAAUAAUAAAACAUAGGCUACUAGCCUCAUGGCAUCAAAUCAGAUCAAAUAAGAAAUACAAAGUAGCUUGUAAAUCUUCAAGAGCUGAGCAAAUAUCAGCUGCUAUUAUUGUUAUCAGGGCAGCUGGGUGGCACAGUGGAGAGAGGGGAUGGGCCUUGUACAGUCGGAAAACCCCAGGACUAUGUUCCCCAGAAUUCCUAUUGUAUCUCCCAGGCUUCCUUUCCCUGAGUCCUCACGUUUGCGUUGUUACAUUAUUGGUUAUAAGUUUCUGUAACUCCCCUCUCUUUCUCUUCUUU